UAAAAGGUAAGAUAUUAAAUUGAAACAAAUAUUUUAGGUAUUUGAUUACGGUCUCUUUUUAAAUCAGGUUUCCUUCUACUCUUGAGAAGACAACCAAAUCACAGAAAAUCUUUGACAAUAUUUGUCUACAUUUCUAAUACAGUAAUAUGCAUAACUACUUAUACCACAUAAGGACAUGAUACUAUAUAUGACCACACAACAAUUUAAAGGGUUCUAUUAACUUGCAGUGAGGACAAAUUUUAUUUGUGAUCCUCUGUCUUUCCUUUCAAGCACUUGGGCUUGUGAGACCACUACCGUAUCAGGGAAAGGGAUGAGGUCUGGCACAGGAAGAGAUUUUUUUUUAUUCCAAUAAACCCAUCUUUGAUAACAGUGGAGUUGUCAGAAAAACAUUAGCAAGUAAAUAAACCUUUUUUAACAUACUCUGGAAUACUGGGAGUUAGCUUUCCCCACUGAAAUCAUGUCUAUGAAGUAUGCAAAAGUUCACAUGUUAAUAAGAAGGAAACUCAUACCUUCUAUCAGAAAUCCCUCCAAUGCCAAAAUUCCCAGAAAAGAACAAAGACAACUCUGUGUCCUUGGAAACAAGAUAUUGCUUGGGGUACAAGUAACUGAUGUGGGAUGUGGGAUUGACACAACAUAAGAGACUGAAAUAAUUAGGUUUUUUAUUAAAAUGUGUUUCUUUGAUGCUCAGCUGUAUAAAGAGGGUGUAAAUGCUUAUAUACUAUAAUUGACUCUUCCUCUUUCUCUCACAUGUACAUCCACAAGAUUCAUAGCCCUGCUUUUUAAAAAUAUCUUGGCAUAACUGCAAUUGUGGAAGUAGAGCUUCAAGGUUUUGUGAACUGAUCACUUGCCUCUUUCAGUAGGAUUUAGCUCAAACAACUUGUAAUCAGUUAAAAAAACCCAAAACAAACAGUCCUGUGAGUGAACUGAAGAAAGUGUUAUUUCCCCCCACUCCAACUCAUUUAAACUAAAACCGGCCUUAGGAACUUGCACAUAGACAUCAAUACAGAAACAGACAUUGUAAUUACUCAUCUUCCUUCAAGCUGUACCUCAAUCAAGACUUCUGUUUUUGGGCUCCUUUUCGUGUUCAAAACUCUUGUCUCUUAACCAUUUUUCUGGACUCCAAACAUGUCAGCAAAGAAAUCUCAGCACUCCAUUCACAAAACUCCAUCUCAACAUGUAAAGAAGAAAAGCUGUCUUUAAAAAAAGCGAACUUAAAAUAUUACUGAGUGGGUGAGAUCUUGUGGAGGAAAAGUUACAUUUUAAUUUUGCAAGGAAGCUAUUUGAAAGCGUAUCCUAAAUACGCCUUAGCAGUGAAACUUGAAGGGAAGAAAAAUCGUCUCUCUGAGAGAAUGAAAAACCCUCUUCAGCCAUACAUGAGGAACGAAACAUUUUUUGCAGAACCCAAAACAGCAGGAGCACCCAGAAAGUUAUUGCUGGAAAUAAAAUUACACUGUGCUUUUGAUCAGCACAAAUAGCGUUCUCUGCUUACCUAGGACCAACAUGGAAGUCUAAGACAGCCAUAGGACAGCCAUCAUAAAUAUAAGGCAAAGCGGUGAGCAUAGGUUUUGCAGAGUGUUAAUUAUCUAGAUUUUGUUCAAUUAGCUCAGAAUGAUGUACCUGAGAUGAAAGAGGCCUUGUUUUAGAAAAAAUUGGGUCAACUUGGCUUUCUUAUGUAAGUGAUACCACUUACAUGAUGCCACGUAUCCAAGGUUUUAUCACCAAAGCAGUUCCCUGAAAGAAUUGCAUCUGACCUACAUAAAAUAUACUUUUGUGAUCAGUGCUCUUAAUGUUUCAAAACAGAGGCAAAAGUUGGGCAACAGUUCAGAAAAUGUUCAACCUGAAAUAAGCCGACUUUCAGAAUUAGUACAUGUUUCCCUUAUUUGUCUUUCCACAGAGAAAAGGGUGUCAUAGAAACAAGCAUCAGAGUUUAGAAACUUGAAAAUAUAACUCUUUGUAUCUAGUAAAACCAAAGAAACAGCUUCUGAGAAGGCAGCUCUAGGCAGCUCUCCAUGCCCAGCCAAGUUCAUUAGCAGGCUGCAAUCUUGGCAGUGAUGCAAUAUGCCAUUACCCUCUGCUUUAACUGAUUUAUUUGAAGCACAGGAAGAAAAGUCAAGACUGGACACAGAAAGAAACAAUUGUUUUUGGCGUGUUGUGGUGGAGUAUACAGGUAGAGGUGCCUUCUAGCCUAGCUGCUGAAGGGAAAACAAGUACAAAUAUCUAUGCCUUGGCUGUUAGGGUCUGAUUAUAAGCACUGUGCUAGAGAAUUCAUGGAUUAUUCAUGUGUAAUUACAGAUAGCUAUUGUGCUCUUUUAAAUCAUCCCUAUAGCCCAUUAUGGCCCAUAACAACUGAAAUAGCAAUUGUCAUAGUAAGGGUUGGGCUCUGUCAUAGAGUGUAGGCUCUAAUCAAUAAUGAUGAAUUGCAAAAUUUAACAUCAAGCCAGAGAAAGUCUAGUUGCCUCUUGCCAUAAAUCUGUGCAAAUAUCAAGUUGUGCAGCUGCUGUAUCUGGAAAUCUAAAAGGCAACACUCUCCCUCCACCCCCUAUACAUGCACUUCUAUAAAAGUUGAAAAAGGAGAAAUGUGCAAUAUGUCCAUUCUAAUAAUUCACAUGCUGUUAAGUCACUUUUCUAUUUAUUCAAAGCAGGGUGAACCCUAGGUUGUUUUCAAGGUCAAUUCCAGGUGAAAGGGGGGUCAUCUGGAGGCCACCUCGACUCCCAUGCAGGUCAAUAAUGUCUCCUCGCUGCCCCAGAAGACAAGCUGCUCACACCCAAUCAAUCCACAAACGCUCCUGCGCACCCAGUGUAAUGAACAGUGAAUAAAUGUAGCCUAUCAUCACAAAACAUGCUUUUUAAGUACCUUCCCUUUUCAUGUAAAACCUCUAGCUGUCAAAUUCUACAUUCACUCAUCCAGCGGUGAGUAGCAAAAGUGAGAAAUCAGGCUCUCAUUGGGGUUGGUAAAAGGUCACUGCUGACAGACACGGAGGUUAAACUGCCGAGUUAAAAUACUGUUCAUUACCCACUGCAGCUUUUUGCUAACUACACUUCUUUGUGUUACAGUCAAGCAGUACAUCAAUAUGCUCCUCCUCCUAAUUCAUUAACAAUUGUUGAAUUGUACAGGAGGGGGAAAAAGGAGGAUUGAUCUUUUAUACCAUUUUAAAAUCUCUUUUCCAUGUCAAAUACUUUUACAUCUUUAUCCACUCUGUAUUAAAUACUCUGCUUACAGCCUGUGCUGUCUGUUUGAACAAUUAUCAUUAUAGGUACAAUUCCUGAAGGUAGAGA